rnacentral:antisense_RNA from 1 species
UGUAAAUACGCUCCUUUGUGAGUGUUUUUGAAUUAGGUAUAGAGAAACUGAUUUUGCCGUCAUGAUUUCUCUAUGCUUUUAUUAUACCA